AGAACUGAUAAUCCAAAAGGUGGAAUGAUGGGGUAACGCCCUGAAACGCCUUCCCUGAUACUCCGACUGGCGUUUGUAACAAUACAAGGGUCAGAAGCUCGGUGAAGUCGGCAGAGAGUAGCCCAAACAGGUAAAGCUGUGGAAAGUGGUUCAGAGGUGAGCUGUGUUACCUAUAUGCCGGGGGUCUAUAAA
rnacentral:ncRNA from 1 species